ACUCAAAGGAAUUGACGGGGGCCCGCACAAGCGGUGGAGUAUGUGGUUUAAUUCGAAGCAACGCGCAGAACCUUACCUGGUCUUGACAUCCCACGAAUACAGCAGAGAUGUUGUAGCGGCUUCGGUCGCGUGGAGACAGGUGCUGCAUGGCUGUCGUCAGCUCGUGUUGUGAAAUGUUCGGUUAAGUCCGGCAACGAGCGCAACCCCUGUCCUUAGUUACCACCAUUAAGUUGGGGACUCUAGGGAGACUGCCGGUGUUAAACCGGAGGAAGGCGGGGAUGACGUCAAGUCCUCAUGGCCCUUACGACCAGGGCUACACACGUACUACAAUGGUCGAAACAAACCGUUCCGAAACCGCGAGGUGGAGGUAAUCGGUAAAACACGAUCUCAGUCCGGAUUGAAGUCUGCAACUCGACUUCAUGAAGUUGGAAUCGCUAGUAAUCGCAGAUCAGCACGCUGCGGUGAAUACGUUCCCGGGCCUUGCACACACCGCCCGU
rnacentral:rRNA from 1 species